rnacentral:rRNA from 1 species
ACGAACGCUGGCGGCGUGCCUAAUACAUGCAAGUAGAACGCACAGUUUAUACCGUAGCUUGCUACACCAUAAACUGUGAGUUGCGAACGGGUGAGUAACGCGUAGGUAACCUGCCUGGUAGCGGGGGAUAACUAUUGGAAACGAUAGCUAAUACCGCAUAAUAUUAAUUAUUGCAUGUUAAUUGAUUGAAAGAUGCAAUUGCAUCACUACCAGAUGGACCUGCGUUGUAUUAGCUAGUAGGUGAGGUAACGGCUCACCUAGGCGACGAUACAUAGCCGACCUGAGAGGGUGAUCGGCCACACUGGGACUGAGACACGGCCCAGACUCCUACGGGAGGCAGCAGUAGGGAAUCUUCGGCAAUGGACGAAAGUCUGACCGAGCAACGCCGCGUGAGUGAAGAAGGUUUUCGGAUCGUAAAGCUCUGUUGUAAGAGAAGAACGGGUGUGAGAGUGGAAAGUUCACACUGUGACGGUAUCUUACCAGAAAGGGACGGCUAACUACGUG